UUCUACUUCAAAGAUCAAACGCUUGUGAAAUCCCCGUCUGCCUAGAAAAUCAAUCAAUUUGACAAGUCCUUUUGAGCAGAAAUGACUCCUACUCCCUUUUCCUGAAAAAACAGGAGCACGUUUGAAGUCGGAGUACAAUGAGGUUCGGUGGGACCUCAAAUCCAGAAAAAUUCGCUCUUAAGAGCAAACCCCCUGGAGAGAUCUACCACUCCCCCACAGCUCUGCACACCCCCUUUUGCCCAAGGGGUAUGCUAAGGUCAGUGAACAGUGAUUGAUACUGUUUCACUGACUUUUACGAUCUUCUAAUGCGGAGCGCCCUGUUAGAGCACCCUGCAGGAGCGGUGACGUCACUGGAAGCCUGCUGCCCAAUCUUUUCUUGAAAGCCUCCAUUGAUGGAACACCCACAUUUUCUGGAGGCAAACUGGUCCACUGAUUAAUUGUUCUCACAGGAAAUUUCUCCUUAUUCUUAAAAAAAUGUAAUCCCAAUCCAUAACACCAUUGGAUUACACAUGUUAUAUAGAAAAUGUAUAAUAUAGAAUAAAGCUAAACUCCCAUGGGGAGUAUGGUUUGAUAUUGAAUAUGAAAUCUUUAAGUAUUGAAAGUUUGGGUUAGCAAUUAAGGAAUCAGUCUAGAAACCAGUAGACCAGGGGCCAGAUGCGUCACAUGCAGGCCACACCCACCUCAGCUCCAUGAAUGGGAAAAUGUCAUGAAACGUCAUGUGACAACAAUGUGAUGCCACGAGUUUGACAUCCAUGCAGUAGACCAUGAAUUCUUUCUUUAGACAUGAAAGCCAGCUGUGUAACUUUAGGUCAACUCUCAAGGUUGUAGAAAUAGGAGACUAUGCUUGCUGCCUUGGUUAUUUUUAAAAAAUUAUAACUCUGGGAUAUAUAUAUAAAUAAAGCAUGAUAUGACUGUGUUCCUUUUAAAGCAUAUAUGUAAGAAUACUGGAAUUUGAUUGACUGUGGUAAAGAUCGAAAGUUGCAUGCCUUAGCAUUCAUCUUUCCUUAACCUGAUGAUCUUAACCUGAAUCAAGAACACGUGAAGUGUUAAUACCACUUUAUAAUGCCUUAGUAAGGCCACACUUGGAAUAUUGCAUUCAGUUUUGGUCACCACGAUGUAAAAAAGAUGUUGAGACUCUAGAAAGAGUGUAGAGAAGAGCAACAAAGAUGAUUAGGGGACUGGAGGCUAAAACAUAUGAAGAAUGGUUGCAGGAACUCGGUAUUCUAGUUUAAUGAAAAGAAGGACUAGGGGAGACAUGAUAGCAGUGUUCCAAUAUCUCAGGGGUUGCCACAAAGAAGAGGGAGUCAAACUAUUCUCCAAAGCACCUGAGGGUAGAAUAAGAAGCAAUGGGUGGAAACUAAUCAAGGAGAGAAGCAACUUAGAACUAAGGAGAAAUUUCCUGACCGUUAGAACAAUUAAUCAGUGGAACAACUUGCCUGCAGAAGUUGUGAAUGCUCCAACACUGGAAAUUUUUAAGAAAAUGUUGGAUAACCAUUUGUCUGAGAUGGUGUAGGGUUUCCUGCCUGGGCAGGGGGUUGUACUAGAAGACCUCCAAGGUCCCUGUUGUUGUUGUUAUCAUCAUCAUCUCCUCUGGAUAUAAACUUAAAUCCAAUAGCCUUGCUGAUUAGGGAGGUGAAAUUUAAUCCAAGAUACUUGGAGGACAUCAGCUUGACUUCCCUUCCCUUCAUUUUAAUUUAUGCUGAUGGUGCAAAUUGGUCAAGGAGGGGGACGUCAAAUUUCUUUAGUUAGACACACUGAAGGCUCUGCAUGUAUAGUAAAGGUAAAGGUUCCCCUCGCACAUACGUGCUAGUCGUUGCCGACUCUAGGGGGCGGUGCUCAUCUCCGUUUCAAAGCCGAAGAGCCAGCGCUGUCCGAAGACGUCUCCAUGGUCAUGUGGCCGGCAUGACUAAACGCCAAAGGCGUUUAUGUAUACAUAUUCUAAAUUUACGUAAAUAAAUUUAUGUAAAUAAAUGUAUACAUAGUCUAAAUUGAUUUGCAUACAGAAAGGAUGAAAUUAUAUGUCUAUACACAAUGUUCUAAUUAGUAUAAAUUUUGAACAUUGCUUUGCUUUCCAAGAAAUAUAAAUUAGCACAUUCUUGCCCUGUCAUAGGUAUAUACCUAGCAUCAAAGUGAAAUGGGUGGCAUAUAAAUUUAAUAAAUAAAAUAAUUAUAUUUGAAGUAUGCAAUGUAUUUGUAUGUGAUUGGCUUUAAAUCAGUGUUGACUAAUGGCAAUUACUUUGACAAGUCCCUGCAGUUUUCUUUGCAAGAUUUUUGGAAAUAGUUUGCUCUUGCCUGUUUCCUAGGGCUGAGAAAGAGUGACUGCUGCAAGGUUACCAGAUGGCUUUAAACCUAAAGCAUGACUAAUUGCUGCUAGUCUUCCAGUUUCUAGUUUUUUGCCUUAACCUAUAUACCAAACUGGCUCUGUCUAUGUUAGUGAUGGCGAACCUUUUCAGCAUCGAGUGCUGAAAAGGGAGCGCGGGCAUGCAUGUCUGGGCCUAAAGAGGAGCUGCCCAGGGUGCCCCUGAAAAUGAACUUCCAGUUUCAGCUGCUGAACUUCUGGUUUCAGCCAGCUACUCUUCCAGGUUUCUGGCACACGUGCACAUGAUGAUCAGAUGGCCAGCGCGUAUAUUCACGCAGGAAAACGGAAGACCAUAAAGAUGUUUCCAAGAUGGCGCCGACGAAGGCUGCCUCGGUGAAAUUCUCUCUAAUUGUUUCUUUAUUUCUAAUUCUCUGUGACUCACUACGGAUUUCCUACUCACGAGACCAUCUGCUAAAAAUUAAGGAACAUUUCUUUAAGGAGCAGCUUUCUUUGAUCUCACCCCCGCCUGUCUUUACAAACACGGAGGAGAUUCUAAUACAGGAGGAGGCAAUUCCCACGGAGCCAUGGAUUACCAAAAAAAACAAACGACGAAAGCGACGGAAGAGAGGUAAACGAGCUGGGAUCUUAAACAGAUUAAGAAAUUGCAUUAAAACUCCUCUGCCUUCAAUUUUCCUAACAAAUAUACGCUCACUUGCAAAUAAGAUGGAUGAAAUACUCCUCUUAAACAAAUACUAUUCUGAUUUUCGCAAUUCAGCAGUCCUAUGCUUCUCUGAAACCUGGUUAAAUGAAUCAAUUGAAAAUAGCAGCCUGAACAUUCCAGGAUUUCAGAUUGAACGAUCAGACAGGAUUCCAGAAACAUCUGGUAAAAAGAAAGGAGGAGGCUUAUGCCUAUAUAUUAACAGAAACUGGUGUCAAGAUUUUAAACUAAUUUACAAAUUCUGUGACAAUAAUUUAGAAACUCUAAUUAUCAACUGUAAACCUUACUAUUCGCCUCGUGAAUUUUCCUCAUUUCUCCUAAUUGCUGUUUAUGUCCCACCACAAGCCUGUGUAAACAAGACAUUACGAACUCUAGCUGACCAAAUUAUGGAGGCUGAAGCCAAACACCCUGAUUCACUGGCCAUUGUUUUGGGAGAUCUAAACAAGGCAAACUUAAGGAAAAAGCUACCAAAAUACUUUCAGCAUGUCAAUUGUCCCACCAGAGGCAAGAAUAUUCUAGACCAUUGCUACACAACACUAAAAGAUGCUUAUCGGUCUUUACCACGUGCAGCUGUAGGACACUCUGAUCAUUGCAUGAUUCACCUUGUACCUGCUUACAGGCAAAGACUUAAAGCCACAAAACCAAUAAUUAAAUCAGUGAAGACCUGGACGGAGGAAUCAAAAUUAAAGCUACAGGCAUGUUUUGACUGCACUGAUUGGAAUAUUUUUAAAGAUACCUCUGCAGACCUGGAUGAACUCACAGAUACUGUAACGUCAUAUGUCAGCUUUUGUGAAGAUCUAUGUGUACCUACAAGGAACUUGUGAAUAUACAGUAACAACAAACCUUGGUUCACACCUAAACUUAAGCAGCUACAACAUUCCAAAGAGGAAGCCUACAGAAAAGGUGAUAAAAUGCUGUACAAUCAGGCCAGAAAUGCACUAACAAGGGAGAUCAGAGCAGCAAAAAGAACCUACUCUGAAAAGCUAAAGAAUCAGUUUUCAGCAAAUGAACCAGCAAACAUGUGGAAAACUCUUAAAAAUAUCACCGGCUAUGGCAAACCUCCUUCCCAGGCUGAAGGUAAUCAACAACUGGCAGAUGACCUGAAUGAGUUUUACUGCAGGUUUGAAAGGAAACUAUAGCCACCUAUCUCCACAACCCCCAUCUCAGACACACCAACAACAGCCAAGCCUCCUACAACUAAUCCCAUCCCAUUGGGUUCAUAACCCCUAGUGAUCACAGAAAAGGAAGUGCAGGACCUAUUUCACAGACAAAAGCCAGGAAAAGCUCCAGGCCCAGACAAAAUAACUCCUUCUUGCUUAAAAGUCUGUGCUGACCCAUUGGCCCCCAUCUUCACCCAUAUCUUCAAUAAAUCACUAGAGAUGUGCUUUGUUCCUUCUUGCUUCAAAAGCUUUACCGCCGAAAAAGCCCACCAUCAAGGAACUGAAUGACUACAGACCAGUUACUUUAACAUCUGUAGUCAUGAAAACCUUUGAAAGGCUGGUGCUUUCCUACUUGAAAACCAUCACGGAUCCGCUGUUAGACCCCUUGCAAUUUGCAUACCGAGCAAAUAGAUCAACAGAUGAUGCUGUUAAUAUGGCUCUGCACUACAUCCUACAACAUCUUGAGUCUCCAAGGACCUAUGCAAGGGUCCUUUUUGUAGACUUUAGUUCAGCAUUCAAUACCAUCAUUCCAGACAUUCUUCUAACUAAGCUAAACCAGCUACAGGUACCACAACAGACGUGUAAGUGGAUCACAAGCUUCCUAACAAACAGGAAGCAGCAGGUGAAGCUAAGCAAGAUCACAUCAAAUACCUGUACAAUUAGCAUAGGGGGCCCCCAAGGCUGUGUGCUCUCCCCACUUCUCUCUGUAUACCAAUGACUGCAUCUCCAACGAUCCAUCUGUUAAGCUACUGAAGUUCGCAGAUGACACAACAGUGAUUGGUCUCAUUCGAGACAACGACGAAUCCGCAUAUAGACAAGAGGUCGAACGACUAGCCUUGUGGUGCAACCAAAACAAUCUGGAACUGAACACGCUCAAAACCGUAGAAAUGGUGGUAGAGUUUAGGAGAAACCCUUCCAUACUUCCACCUCUCACAAUACUAGACAACACAGUAUCAAGAGUAGAAACCUUCAAAUUUCUAGGUUCUAUCAUAUCGCAAGAUCUAAAAUGGACAGCUAACAUCAAAAACAUCAUUAAAAAUGGACAACAAAGAAUGUUCUUUCUGCGCCAACUCAGUAAGCUCAAACUGCCCAAGGAGCUGCUGAUUCAGUUCUACAGAGGAAUUAUUGAGUCUGUCAUUUGCACCUCUAUAACUGUCUGGUUUGGUUCUGCAACCCAACAAGAAAAACACAGACUUCAGAGGAUAAUUAGAACUGCAGAAAAAAUAAUUGCUACCAACCUGCCUUCCAUUGAGGACCUGUAUACUGCACGAAUCAAGAAGAGGGCCGUGAAAAUAUUUACAGACCCCUCGCAUCCUGGACAUAAACUGUUUCAACUCCUACCCUCAAAACGACGCUAUAGAGCACUGCACACAGAACAACUAGACACAAGAACAGUUUUUCCCCGAAGGCCAUCACUCUGCUAAACAAAUAAUUCCAUCAACACUGUCAAACUAUUACUGAAUCUGCACUACUAUUAAUCCUCUCACAGUUCCCAUCACCAAUCUCUUUCCAUUUAUGACUGUAUGAUAUAACUUGUUGCUGGCAAUCCUUAUGAUUUAUAUUGAUAUAUUGACCACCAAUUGUGUUGUAAAUGUUGUACCUUGAUGAACGUAUCUUUUCUUUUAUGUGCACUGAGAGCAUAUGCACCAAGACCAAUUCCUUGUGUAUCCAAUCACACUUGGCCAAUAAAAAAUUCUAUUCUAUUCUAUUCUAUUCUAUUCUAUUCUAUUCUAUUCUAUUCUAUUCUAUUCUAUUCUAUUCUAAGAUCUUCUAGUUUCUGGCACUGCCACAUGCAAAAAGGCCAGCUGAUGAUUGUAUGCACAUGUGCGCCAGAAACCCAGAAGAGGAAUGGGCAGCACCAUGCAUGCCAGGCAACAUGGCUCCAUGUGCCACUUCAGGCAUGCACGUCAGGUUCGCCAUCACAGGUCUAUGUUAUGUCUAUCAUAUAAAUAUACACAGAUUUUCCUUUCUUUUUUUUAUGCCUGUUUAUUUGUUCGAUUUCUGGGAGAUUUUUUUUCUUUAUGAGAGACUUUAUUUUACUUAGUUUCCUAUUGACAACACUGAUAUGGGCCAUGGUGGUUCAGUGGUUAGAAUGCAGUAUUGCAGGUUGACUCUGCUCAUGGCCAGGCGUUCAAUCCUGAUUGGCUCAAAGUUGACUCAGCCUUCCUUCCUUCCGAGGUCAGUAAAAUUAUGACCCAGAUUGCUGGGGGCAAUAUGUUGACUCUGUAAACUGCUUAGAGAGUGCUGUAAAGUACUAUGAAGUGGUUUAUACCAUGUUUCCCUGAAAAUAAGACCCAGUCUUAUUUUCUUUUGGGCUCGAAAAUAAACACUAGGGUUUAUUUUGGGGGAUGUCUUAUUUUUUUUUUUGAUGUACAGGAGGCAGCAAGUGUGGGAGCUGACGGAAGUGGGAGCGCUGCUCCUGCCAGCCCAGCCCUCUGUCCCACCAUCUGCUUGCCUGCAGCUGCAACGGGCCAAGCUCUUGGUGCACCUCGGCCUCUGCCCGCCCUGCCUGCUGGUCCUACUGUUGCUGGAACACUGGAGCUUGGCUCUUGCUCAGGCUGCUGCUACAAUGAGGUAGAAGGCCGUGUGGUGUGUCAGGAUCGCUUUCUUCUCCCUCUGUGCCUCUGGCUGGUUGCUGGGCCUGCCACACAUGCUGCUGCUGGCCUCAUUGUGGCUCUUGAUCCGCCUGACCGUGCUGCUCUCAGCCACCCUGCAGUUUUGGGGGGCAGGAACUGUGUGCUGGCCCUGUGGUGAGAGGGAGGGAGAGAUCACCCCUCCUUUGUGCCCCCCAAACCCCAUCUUCCCUGGCUGCCCAGCCCCCGGCCUUCAACCUUGUGUUGGAAAGGCGAGCAAAACGCGCAACUCAAUGCUACUGGUAUGCCGUACAAUGCAAGCCAUGCAAAGCCACCUCAACCGUCUUGGCUCCAGGGGCGAUCCCAGACUGGGGAGGCAUGCAGAAUCCCCAGGGUGGAGGCCUCCCAGUGCAAUGCUAUUCUGCCACUCCUGAAAAAACCUCCUCCUUCCCUGCAUAGGAUUGCAAGGGACCUCUGCAACUUCCGUUGACCAACUCCCGUCCAGUACCUGCUGCUGCUAGCCUCACACUGCUCUUGGCUGAGCUGCUCCUGCUGGGCUGCCAGGGCCCCUUCGCCAGUGGUCACCGGUGGAGCCACAUUGCCUUGCCUGUAAUAGCUUUCGGGCUACGCUCCUGCUCUGCACGGCUUUGGUAGGGAAGAACUCUGUUGGCAUCCCUACAGUGGGAUAGAUGAAGGCCUUGGAGGCCUGCACCAGGCAGGAACAGCCUGACUGAGAACAGCACAUCCACCCCCUCCACUAGGGCUUUUUUUGGGGUAGGGCUAAUAUUAGGCCCUUGCUUAAAAAUCAGGCUAGGACUUACUUUUGGGGAAAGGUCUUAUUUUUGGGAAAACACGGUAAGUCUAAGUGCUAUUGCUAUUUAGCUCAUUUUAUUUAUAUUUGCAUUGGAUAUUUAUAUAUCCACACUUUCCUUUUUUUGUUCAUCUUAAUCCUUUUAUUUAAUUUUAUAACUUUUGAAAUGAAGUGUCAAUGUUCACAAUAAAAAAUUUUCAAAUUUUAUGAAAUAUUUACUUAUUUUAAACUACUUUUGUAUUCUCAACAAAGACUGCUUGUCUGAAAUCUAUAGUCCCAUGACGUAGAUACUUCAAAUCCACUAGCAAUAGUUUCUUCCUUACCUGCUUUUGGAAAGCAGUUACUAUGGUGAUGCUGAUUCUGAAAUGUAUGAUGACAGAUUGAUUUUUUUAAUUCCUUCAGUUGAAUUAAAUCUUUUUCUUCAGAGGAUUUGUGACCUUUUGUUACAAUUUUGCAAGUAUAAAUUUAGUUACAUAGAACAUUAUAAAAUUAACCUUAGUUAUAUUUAGUUUGCUGUAGGUACAUUCUGGAAAAAAAUGUUUCAAACUGAUUUAUGAAGUUAUAAAAUAAUUUUAAAACAGGAACUCGUUAAACUUGCUUAAGGCUUCAGGAACUAUAUGUUAAAAUCCUAAAUGUAAAGUAAUUAUGGUUAGAAGCUUAGAAAGAAAAACCUCUGAUUAAUUAGUCUUGCCCUAUACCUGAUCCCCAGGCUAUUCUGAUUGUUUCUAUAUAUGAGUUUAAUUAACAAAAUCGUAGUUAACAAUACUAAUCAAUUUAAUAAUAAUAAUUUAUGUAUCUUGCCUUUAAACAGGUGAAAAAGCAAUAGUUAAAUCCCAUCAUCUCUGAAGCAGUUUUAAGAAAAAUACAUUUAAUAAAGUUGCCAUUUUGGUAAUUGUUUCAAAUAACUACCCUGAGACUGAGACCAUGGAAUGUAGAAAAUGCAGAGUGGAAAAAGAUUCAGAUAUAUCAUCCAUCCUGAAUGUAUCACAAGAGGCAACAUGUUUCCAAAAAAAUGAGGUUGAUAAUACCUGUAGUGAUCUUCAAAUGGGAGCUGAGUAUUCCAUUUCAAGUCAGCCAUGUUACUUAGAUGCCUCACUUUUUAACUUAUCAAAAGAAAAUCUAAUUUCAUCAGUCAAAGAAAAAUUUAUGUAUGUCCAUAAGCAGCAACACAAAACUUCAAGUGCAGUAGAAACUACAAAUGAAAUAAAUAGUAAUACAGAUUUCUCCUAUUUUAAGAAUGAGAAUGCAUACAAAUGCAAUUAUUUUGAUGACGACUCUCAGUUAGAAUAUCACAGUGCUGAAGAACAGGAUUAUGUUGAUUGUGUCUGUUCAUAUAGACAGAAAACAGAUUCAGAAAGUUUUCAAAAAAAGGAAAUGGUAAAUGAAAAUAAUAUUACAGAUCAGCCAUUGGACAAAUCUGAAGAUACAUUUUCUACAUCAAGUUAUGUUGUUAAGGACCAUUACAAUGGCAAUGAAAUAUCAACAUUCCGCCAGAUGUUUCAAGAUGUCAGUUAUACACAGAACCAGCAUAUAGCCAUACGUGAAAAAAGAAAUGAGAGUCUUAGCAUGUCUUACCGUGUUGUUAAAGAUUCAUCUCAUAUUAAAGUAAAAAAUAAUAAUAAUUCAAAAUUAUUUUUAGCUAUCAAAGCUGAGAUAGAAGAAAAGAUUAAAGUAAAAUUUCUUACUGAUACCACACUGAAAUCUAUUACUUCUACUACUAAAGAAAUACUUAAAAUAAAUGAUUAUCUAAAUAAAACUGGAAAUUCAAAUAUAUUAUGCCAGGAGAGGAGGUUACUAUCUUUUUCUCAGGUUUCUCAUAAUACAGAAGAUUCAAAUACAUAUGCCUACAGACCAUCAGUUAUAAUUAAUAAUGAUAUAAAAACCUCUAUCUACUAUUCCUGUGAACAUGAAAAUUGCAUUGAGAAUUUUUCUAGUACAGAAUUGAAAUGCACCACAAAUACUGGUACAUACCAUGAAUCUCAUAAAAACCUUCAAAGUGCAAUUAACCAAGCUAUUGAUGCAACUACUGACUUUAGAGCUAAUUUUACGACAAGUCAUGCCAUUAAUGUUAAAAGUCCAGUGGCAUCUAAGGCACAAAACACUGUGAUAACGAUGAGUAAAUGUAGGCCCAGGGAAUGGUUGGCACAUGAUUCAGAAAUAAUGCCUGUAAUAGCUGACUAUAGAAGUGUUGCCUGCAAUACAGACUGGUCAUGUAUCCCUGGCAAUGUGGAGAUGAUUGACUCACAAGUAACGAUAUGUGAUAUGUUGGAAGAUUGCAUUACAAAACAUGGAUGGAAAUCGAACUCUGAGGAUCCUUUGGAAUGGAGUAAUAUCACUAGCAAAGAUUUGAAUGAAAUUCCAUACAGGAUGAUGCAACUAUCAAAAGAAAUAAAUUGUUUGCUAAACUGUUGUAAAGAAAUGCUACAGAGAGCCGUCAAAGCUGAACUGCAGCUUUUAAAACUUCGUUAUCAGAUGUUUUAUCAGCACUGCUGGCAGACUUGUAGACUUUUUAUGAAAGAAAAGGAAAAUAUAAGUUCACCACUUGGAACCAGAAAGCCUGUGUCAGAAAUGUCAUUGUCACAAGAUAAUGAAGUACCUUUACUGCACUUAAUUACAUCUCAAAGGAAUGAAAACAGUGAUUCUCAUCAGUGCCUUUCCAAGACAGAGGAGAAAGAAAACAGUCUUGAAGAGAAAAGUUCUUUAAAAACACAAGAAAUCAGCGAAGGGUGGUUUGAUGCUACAGAGAACCCAACAACACUUGAGUCAUCAAUUUUGUGUGCCAACCCUCUAGAGAGAUCUCCAACAGAAACACAGACAUUAGAAGGGAGGAAAAAAGAGUUGAAAAACAAUUAUUUUGUCCAUGUUGAUGGUCUGAAUCCUUCAGUAUCAGAAGUUGACCUUUGGCUUCAUUUCCAGAAGUAUAAUGUUUCUGAUGUUUUUGUUUGUGAUUAUUCUGAAAAUUACAGGAUAUUGCAGACAGCCUCUUGCCUUUUGGCUCAGUACAGUUUACUCCAAAUCCAUCAUCUUCCUUUAUAACUCCAAAUACAUUAAACUUAAGCAGUUUCCGCAAAGUACUAAAGAAACUUGAAGAAUUAUAUCCACAGAUUACUAGAGAGAAUAUUUUGGCUGCUUUGGUAGAGGUAAAAGAAAACAAGAGUCGACUUAGCGGUUUGCCCUUAAGCACAAUUGUUCAAAUGACAUCAUCUCUCCUGAAUAAAAAAAUUGCUUCAUAAUCAGAAAAAAAGUAAUCUGAGAAAUAAACAAGUGAGUACCUUGAAAAUGCAUUGAAAUGUAUGUUUUAGAAAUCUCUGAGUUGUAAUGAAUUUCUUCCCCUGCUGCAUUUUACAUUUAUAUCUUAAUAAUAAACAUUUUUGGAAAUAAAUGCCUAAUUAAUUCAAGUGUUUUUUACUACUGUAAUAAUUAGCUUAGCAUCAGGGCAUAAAACUAUCGUUUUUCUAUAUGCUGCUGUUUUUAUGGAAUUUUUAAUUAAAAGCCAAAGAUCUUGAAAUUCAAAGAUGUGAAAUUCAUACUAAGUAGCCACCAUGCUAUGGGAAAAUGGGAAGAAAAGAAAUAGGAAAAAUCAAGCAACGAAACUAUUUCAGACAACAGUAAAUAUGAAAAGAUGUGGGUGUCUUGGUGGAUCAAAAACUGAACAUGACCCAACUGGGUGGUACAGCUGUGGAAAAAAACCCAAUCCUGGUCUGCAUCAGGAUCAAGAGAAGUCACCUAGACAAUUACAUCUAGUUCUGGAAUAUGUAUUCUUUAAUUAAAAUAAAUGGAGACAACUAAUAAAAUAUUAUUAGUGUCUACUAGGAUUAAUGGGAAACUUUAAUUAGUCACAACAUUCCAGAGAGGCACUCAACCAAGCAUGGUCUUCCUAAGAGAUGUUUCAUUUGUAGUGCUGACAACUUUCUCCUUCAGAUGAUGGAGAAAGGUAUCAGCAAUUUAUUUUCUAUUACUGAUAGUGAGCAAUAGUCACUUAAGUGACUUAAGAAACUGGGUCAUGUAUUCCUUAAAAAUAGCAGGUUAAGAGUAAUAUUGGGAAAAGUGACUAUGUAAUAUUGAAGUACCUAAUCAAGGAAUCUGAAGCUAGAUAAAAAGCUCAGAAAAGUUCUAAAUACAAUAAAGGAAUAUAGUGUAAGAAAUGGAAAGAUAAAAUAGUUCAUCAAGGAAGAAUAUAGGUAUCCUCCAUUGAUAAUAUUUAUUUAUUUAUUUAUUAUUUAUUUAUUUAAUCACAUUUUUAUACCGCCCUAUCUCCCGAGGGACUCAUAAUAGUUCAUUUAGUGACUGUUCAAAGUUAUAACGGCACUGGGAAAAGUGACUUAUGACAGCUUUUCACAUGACCAUUGUCGCAUCUCCAUGUCAUGUGAUCAAAAUUCAGAUGUUUGGCAACAGACUCAUAUUUAUGAUGGUUGCAGUAUCUCAGUGUCAUGUGAUCACCUUUGCGACCUUGUGACAAGCAAAAUCAAUGGGGAAGCCAGAUUCACUUAACAACUGUGUUACUAAUUUAACAACUGCAGUGAUCCACUUAACAAUUAUCACUCUUACAACUAUGAUAAUUAGCUUAGCAACCGAAAUUUUGGGAUCAAUUGUGGUUGUAAGUCGAGAACUACUUGUAUAGACUUGUUUCCUAUGAUCUGGAUUUUGUGCACCACAAAAUGAUGAAGUUGGCAAUGAUGAUAAUGCACCUCAAGAAAGCAUUUGUAGCAGCUGUAUGAUACAGAUAGUCCUCAACAUACAACCAUUUGUUCAGUGACCAUUCAAAAUUGUGACGGCAUUUAAUGAAAGGAAUUAUGGCCUGUGCCAAAUUAUGGUUGUUGCAUGAUCAUGUGAUCAAAAUUUAUUUGCUUGGCAGCUGAUACACCCUUAGGACUACAGAAUGCUGCAACUUCCUCCAUUCACCUAUUUCCCACCACUCAGCUAGCCACCUGGCCUAUCAAUAUCUAAAUUUCAUAGUUUGGAGAAGGAGGCUUUUGAAGGAUUAUGAGAGCAGGUUCCAUUCUCGCACUACUUUGGAAGCUUCUUCAAAUCUUCUUCAGGUUUGGAUAAGGUGACUUCCAAAUGAUCCUGAGAAUGGAACCUACUUGGAAAAUAAUGCAAAAUAGCCUCCAUUAUGAAAACUAGUUGCUCCUGUCAGCAGCUGGAGAAAAUUGUAAAGGUAAAUGGGGUCUUUGUAUGCAUAUGUGAAUGAAAAAAUAGUUAACAAGUUAAAAAAAAGCAAAGUUAAAAUUCAAAGCACCAUGUUAACUGUUAUUGUAAUUUACUCAUAGAAAAUCUAAAUAGUUUCCUAUUUACUACAAAUCACCACAAUCAUGAUCACUGAGUCCAGGAUCAAAUACCUUCAUUUGGUUCUUAAUAGUGAAAUGUUUCCUUAGGGUUUUAAUUGGGAACUUUUAAUUGGGAACAUAAGUCUCUGUUGUAAAUAUCCAUUUUUGAAUAAUUAUCCUUCACAACACUGUAUUCCCCUUGUCAAGAAAGUCCAGUCCAUCUUUUGUCAUAUCCAUUAUCUUAGAAUUUCUUAUAUUCAUAUUCUUUCAAUCUUUUCUGGCAAACCAAACCCUUUCUUCAUAUCUGAUUUCAACAGAUCAAAUUCCAGUUCCUCAAAUUGCAAAUCAGGUCCAACUGUUACUUCCUCCCUUUGGAUAUCAUCUUGUGUUUGCAGAACUGUUAUUGAACCAUCAUUUUUUUAAAUUUAUAUUUUCAAAUAAAACCUGUAACAUGGACAGCAUUCUUUUUUCAAUUGUCUCCCCAAACAAUUUAUCUCUUUUCAAAGAUAUGAGAAACACUUUGUUUUCCUCUCCAAGAAGAGAAGCAAAUAAGCUUCCACAAGAAAAGGGUUUUUUCCCCAAAAAAGUUUAAAGAAAGGAGAAUUUUCCCAUCAAAAAUUAACAGAAAUAUCAAGGCUCUUUUAAAAAUAGAAUAGAAUAGAAUAGAAUAGAAUAGAAUAGAAUAGAAUAGAAUAGAAUAGAAUAGAAUAGAAUUUUUUAUUGGCCAAAUGUGAUUGGAUACACAAGGAAUUUGUCUUGGUGCAUAUGCUCUCAGUGUAUAUAAAAGAAGAUACUUUCAUCAAGAUACAACACUUACAACACUUAAUGAUAAUCAUAGGCUACAAUUAAACAAUCAGGAAACAAUCUAUAUUAGUAUAAAUUGUAAGGAUACAAGCAACAAAGUUACAGUCAUAAGUGGAAAGAGAUGGGUGAUGGGAAUGAUGAGAAGAUUAAUAGUGGUGCAGAUUUAGUAAAUAGUUUGACAGUGUUGAGGGAAUUAUUUGUUUAGCAAAGUGAUGGCGUUUGGGGCGUUUGGGGAAAAAAUUGUUCUUGUGUCUAGUUGUUCUGAUGUGCAGUGCUCUAUAGCCUCGUUUUGAGGGUAGGAGUUGAAACAGGAUAUGAGGGGUCUGUAAAUAUUUUCACAUCCCUCUUUUUGAUUCGUGAAGUAUACAGGUCCUCAAUGGAAGGCAGGUUGGUAGCCAUUGUUUUUUCUGCAGUUCUAAUUAUCCUCUGAAGUCUGCGUCUGUCUUGUUGGGUUGCAGGACCAAACCAGACAGUUAAUAGAGGUGCAGAUGACAGACUCAAUAAUUCCUCUGUAGAACUGGAUCAGCAGCUCCUUGGGCAGUUUGAACUUUCUGAGUUAGCGCAGAAAGAACAUUCUUUGUUGUGCUUUUUUGAUGACGUUUUUGAUGUUAGCUGUCCAUUUUAGAUCUUGCGAUAUGGUAGAACCUAGAAAUUUGAAGGUUUCUACUGUUGAUACUGUGUUGUCUAGUAUUGUGAGAGGUGGAAGUAUGGAAGGGUUUCUCCUAAAGCCUACCACUAUUUCUACAGUUUUGAGCGUGUUCAGUUCCAGAUUGUUCCAGUCGCACCACGAGGCUAGUCAUUCAACCUCCCGUCUGUACGCAGAUUCAUCAUAUAAUCUUAUAAUCCUGUGUAAAUGUAAAUGUAAGCCUGAUCCUUAUGGUUAAAAAAAUAAUAAUUUUGUAUUUAAUGGUAAACAAUGAAAAAAAAAAGAAUUUGUAAAAGUCCACCAAGGGGUUAUAAAAUAGGUCAAAAGUUAACCAGUCAUAAAUCUUGAUUAUAAAGCUUCAAAAAUGCAAUUAAAACCCAGGCAUGCUUAAGAAAGAUGGGUAGCUGAAGGGAAAAAAUGUUGAGACCAGACCUUCCGAUUGCUCCUUAUCAAGAAUUGCAGGUGUCCAGCUCCAUUCUUCUCCAUCUAUGCACAAUCGUCCAAAGGUCAUCUUGGGUCCUUCCUAGUCUCCCCUUCAAAAACCAGGAAGCAAAGCCACCAAAUAAGGAGUUAUAUCAGAGUAAUCAUCUUAGAACUGUCAUAUGUCAGUUGUCAUAUGUCCAUGGGUUGAAAUAUGUAUCCUAUUCAACUGGAUUGAUUCUAGAUUAAGUUUAUCUUCAUGCUCCCCUGUAAAUUAGUAUUAUUGUUAGGUCCCAUAGAUCCCUAUUGGGACACUGCCAUUCCGGUGGGGAGCGGGCCCUGGAUACUCUUUUACAACCCCUUUCCUGUUUCUGGGUUUCCUGUCAC